UACGGAGGGUGCAAACGUUGCUCGGAAUCAUUGGGCGUAAAGCGCACGUAGGCGGCCUGUUAAGUCGGGUGUGAAAGCCCUCGGCUCAACCGAGGAAGUGCAUUCGAAACUGGCAGGCUUGAGUAUGGAAGAGGGUCGCGGAAUUCCCGGUGUAGAGGUGAAAUUCGUAGAGAUCGGCAGGAACACCCAGGGGGAAACCAGUCGACUGGGCAUCUACUGACGCUGAGGUGCGAGAGCGUGGGGAGCGAACCGG
rnacentral:rRNA from 1 species